GUUUAAUCUGAGGACAUUUCUUACCCAAAAUAUUUGAAAACAAGGUCUUUUUACCUUUUGGUCUUGAACAGAUUUUUUUUUUUUGUUAGUUUGUUUUCGGGUCAGUGGUAGUUGACCUGCUAUGUUAAUUACACAUCUUGGUUUGGAAAACUAGUUGGCAAGAUCCUGUAGCAAUGGGUCCAGGAUGCGGACUCGGUUAGGAAUGAGGUCAGCAACAAGUGAAAAAGGGAACACAGGAAGAACAGGUAAAGGUAGAGAGGAAAACCUCUUGAGCCCUCUUAGCAGCACUCCCUGGCUAUUCCUACCUGUCAUAUACCACAUCUAUUGCUAUCUAUCCAUAUCCAUCUGCAACACACCAAAUCCAGGGUGUUUCCCUAGGCCUAAUAUAUUUAAAAGCAAAGUGAUAAAAUUAGCCAUUGUACAUUGUAUUUGUGAUACAUUUAAUAUUUUAUUGUAUGUUUCCUUUUGAGACUGCCUUAAGUAUGAGCUAGAUUUGCCUAUUUUCUUAUUUAAAAUGCAAUAGCUAUGUAAAAAUGAAUGGUAAACUAUGGAGAACUUUAGGAGACUGUUUAUUAUCCAGUUGGAUUGUGUUCACAGAGAAGGAAAGGGAGCCUCUUCCUUAUUUUGUAUGUAUAUAUAUAAAACCCAAUGGUUAAUUAAAUAGUGAUAUUGUUGGACUCAGAUGACACGUUUUGAAAGAAUGCCUCAGUCACAACAGACUGAGGUGAUGUAUGCUUCGCAC
rnacentral:lncRNA from 1 species